rnacentral:rRNA from 1 species
CCUACGGGAGGCAGCAGUGAGGAAUAUUGGUCAAUGGACGAGAGUCUGAACCAGCCAAGUAGCGUGAAGGAUGACUGCCCUAUGGGUUGUAAACUUCUUUUAUAUGGGAAUAAAAUGUUCCACGUGUGGGAUUUUGUAUGUACCAUAUGAAUAAGGAUCGGCCAACUCCGUGCCAGCAGCCGCGGUAAUACGGAGGAUCCGAGCGUUAUCCGGAUUUAUUGGGUUUAAAGGGAGCGUAGGUGGAUUGUUAAGUCAGUUGUGAAAGUGUGCGGCUCAACCGUAAAAUUGCAGUUGAAACUGGCAGUCUUGAGUACAGUAGAGGUGGGCGGAAUUCGUGGUGUAGCGGUGAAAUGCUGAGAUAUCACGAAGAACUCCGAUUGCGAAGGCAGUUCACUGGACUGCAACUGACACUGAGGCUCGAAAGUGUGGGUAUCAAACAGGAUUAGAUACCCCAGUAGUC